rnacentral:rRNA from 1 species
GGUACACGCUGUGACUAGCAUAUCAAUAAGCGGAGGAAAAGAAACUAACAAGGAUUCCCCUAGUAACGGCGAGUGAAGCGGGAAGAGCUCAAAUUUGAAAUCUUAAAGGGUUUCCCUUUACGAAUUGUAGUUUAAAGAAGUGUUUUCUGUUGAGGUUUUGGUAAAAGUUCUUUGGAAUAGGACAUCAUAGAGGGUGAGAAUCCCGUAUUUGACCUUUACUUUCAACUUUGUGAUACACUUUCAAAGAGUCCGGAUUGUUCGGGAAUGCAGUCCAAAAUGGGUGGUAAAUUUCAUCUAAAGCUAAAUAUUGGCGAGAGACCGAUAGCGAACAAGUACCGUGAGGGAAAGAUGAAAAGAACUUUGAAAAGAGAGUUAAACAGUACGUGAAAUUGUCAAAAGGGAAGCGUUUGACACCAGUGUUGUUUUUCUGAAAAUCAAUUAAAGAACUGUUUAUGCUAAGCUGUUUAGACUUUAUCAGCUAUCUGUUUAGUUUUGAGCUUUUCUUUAAUGCACUUUUCAGUUAACAAGUCAACAUCAAUUUCUUUUGCUGUAAAAAAGCUUGAGGAAGGUGGCUUGAGAUUCGUCUUAAGUGUUUAUAGCCUCUUGCCUAUGCAGUCGGAGAGAUUGAGGUCUGCAGCGUAGAUCCUUCGGGGCUAAAUGCAUUUGUGCUAAGUUAUAGCAUUUUAUAGAUAACUUGUUGACUAUGAUUUGUCUUGUAGCUUACUCGCUUAUGUUAUUUUACCUACGCUUAGGAUGUUGAAGAUGUAGCACAUCAU